rnacentral:rRNA from 1 species
AUGUCAAAAAUGCAAAGGGGGAUGCAAGGAGCACAAGGCCUGCACAUCCAAGCAAGUGGUAACAUGGACUUGUACAUGGAACAUCCGAACCGCAAGCAGAGCUGCAGUGAGCCUGUACAACGAGCUAGCGCUUGUAGGCAUUUUGUUGUGGCAUAUAUGGUUCUACCGGAUCCCACCUUCUUCGACGACGUCAUCGACGCUGUCACCAACAAGUACGGCUGGGACCGCGGCGCCCAGGUCUGGGUCUGGCCGCUUGACGCCGAGGGCGUGCUCGUCGGCGCUGUGCAGCACUACGAGUUCCGCACCCACGCGGGGGGCGCCACGGUCUAG